GGACUAUGAUUACACCAAAGAUAAGUAUUGAAAUCAAUGUUAAGUUUAAGCAAUUACGUGUUUUUAAGUUUACAAAACACUAAUACGAUUUUGUUUUUUUUUUAGCCUGAUUCUGUUUUUAGAUUAUGAUGACUACACUUACAAACUGGCAGUCGAGUAAAGAAUAAAUCAUCAAUUGAUACUUGAUAUCAAACAGUUGAGGAACACAAUAUCAAAGAUAAGAAACGGAUUCAAUUUUCCGUUAAUACAAUUCCGGUUUUAAUUUAUAUAACUAAACUCUGAUUAAAUUUUAUUAUAACGUUAAUUAGGAUGAUCCUGUUUUUCCAAUAAGAUGGUUGAAGUUACAAUUUGGAAGUGAAUCAAUGAAGAAGACAUCUAUACUAUAUUGGUUGUCUUGAAUGCCUUAAGAUCAGAUAGAUUUGUGAAAGCAUCAUUGGCGGCCAUCUCUUCUUAAACGAUAUCAAGUUAGAAAUUUGGCAAUUCUUUACUACCUAGUGUCUCGGAGCUCAACUUUUAAUUGUUAUGGAAAAUGAUUGACAGCUAUUGAUUCUGUUUGGAUACGCGUAUGGCAAUUCUAGAUCCGAGAAAUUAAACACGAUCCGAAUGAUGAUAUACUGGACAACAAUAGGAUCCGCGUCUUUUUCUUUAGAAAACGACAGCAUUGCCCUUUUUAUUUUUUUUUCUUUGUUCCUUUUUAGUUUGUUUCGUAAGGGUAGUUUAUGGAAUUCUUGUUUUGUUUU